GGAGGUUGCUAGAGUUUCAAGUGUCUAGUGUAGAAAACGGGAUUAUUUCCCUAAAUGGAAAUUCUAUAGACAAAAAAGUUCUAUUUUGACGCUUUUAGAGUUUCUGAGAAGUUUAUCCAAUAGUUACCCAUGGCAAAGUACCAAAGACUCAUCUAUUUUUUCCAGCCUGAUAUUUUGCUGAAUUCAUUGUGCUACUUCAGGAGAUCACUACCCUUUUCUAAAGAAUUGUCCCGUAAAAGGGAAGAUCAAUGGCAGCAUUUCAUCAACCUUGUGGUUGCCCCCAGAUGGAGAAGAAUUUUUGCCUUGCCCGAAAUCAUUGCAACACAAUUUGUAGGUGCUGCUACUGAAAGAAGCAUGCAUAUGUAGCCCUUAUUACUGAAACUCAAGCUGCACCUAAUUACUGGUAACAGAAAAACACUGGCGUUCACCUCCCACGCACAGAGCCACACCUUGCCCUCCAGGAAAUCCACAGAGCUUCCUAAGAAUAAUUUCUAACUGUGGCCUAGAUUUCAGCCUCUUUUGUAUCCUUUUACAGUGGAAGCUUGUCAGAUCCAAUCCUGUCUGGUGCACAGGGUUUGACUGAACCAAGAAAUGAAACUCAUUGUGAAAUCUGGUCUUACAUUGGACCUUUUGUCAUGGGAUCUCUUCUGCUUGGUUGCCAUGGUUCAACAAGUUUGGUGCUUUACCCAAAGCAGAUGGAUGCUGGAGACAGUCUCUGUUCUCUGCAGUAGGAGACAGAGGACAGAAUCAAAAGCACCAUUUCAGUAGAAGUUACUGUAGAAAUUGACAAGGAAAAAUUAGAUAAAAUAAUAUUUCCUUUGUCUAUAUUUCAAAAUUGAUCAUAUUUUCCUCCCAUUUUCCCUAAGUUUGCAUGGAAUUAUUUAUGAAAGAGAAGGCACAGCACGGUUACUUUUGGCAGUAGAGAGUUAGSUUCAAUGGUUCAAGCCUGUUUUUUUAUUUCACUAGGAGACUUUUAGAUAUAUCUGGAAAGAAAUGACAGCAUUCAAUCUUAUUGCAGGAUUGUAUCCAUCAGCUGACAAUGCACCUGACCAUGGCCUUUGUCAUUCAGCUUCACUGUAAUGCCAGUAUGAGAUUUAGGACAUGCGUCCUGUCCUCAGUCUCCUCUUUCAUAAAUACUUUGUGGUAACCUCUGAUAGAUCCCUUUGUACCUUAUUCUACAAAAAUAAUGUGAAAGCAUUUUUGCCUUAUACAAAUAAAUAAGCAGACAAUAUAUUCUAGAAAGAACAAGGGCCCAGCUAAUCUCAYAGGAAGUCCUUUGCUGGGAAGCAGAGUCCCUGGAAGGGAGAUGUGACUAUCAGAUCACAGUUGCUACAUCUCUGACAUGGUGACCAGAAUGGGGAAAAUACCUCUUAUUGUCCAAGCAAGUGAAUACUGAGAAAUGAUAAAGAAGUUUAUUUAUUACGGCACCAAUGCAGAGAAAGGUGGAAUGUUAUCUGGGGUUUGGGUCCUAAAUUCAAAAAGACCGAUAUAAAAUUAGAAGGAUUUCAUAGAACAGAGAUGAGACAUGGUUGAAGAAUACUCUCCCUUCUAAUGUGGGGCUCAAGGAGUUCUACCCAUUUAGCUUAUCAAAGAGAAAUUUAAUGGGUCCCCUUUAUGUACCAUUCAUGUUGUAAAUACUCAUUUUAAAAUCCAUGCCUUAGCUCUGGCAGACAAAGAUACAAGACUUGCAAUCUUAGUUUAUAGUUAUCCAUAAUUAAAUAUUGAGUGGGUUCCCAAGAAUUAGGGUAMAUUUUCACUUGAUAUUUAUAUCAAGAGAUAUAUGUACCCCUUAUAAUGAUACAAUCUAGUUCGGACAGGGAUGAGUUCAGGAAAAUCUGCUCUCCAUUAUGGCUGAAAUCAGACUAGAAGAUCACCCAGGUCACAUCAGGCUUUCUAAUAUGUUAAUUAGAUAUUUUAUAUAAAUUCAGUUUAAUUGSUUCUGUGUUUUUUAAUAAACAGCAGUUUUAAUGUUUUGUGUUUGACUGCAGCCUCACYUAACCUCAAGUAUUUCUUACUGUAUAUGUGUGGUGGGACUUUGUCAUCCUACCAGCACCUCCACCUUCAUCCUUCACUGUUGCAUCAUUAGCUUGUUACACAACCUGCAGGGUUGAUAUUGUUGAUAUGAUGCUAACCACAAAGUCAUUUAGAGAUGGAGUGAUAGCAUUGCUGGAGAUCCCAACAAAACUGCUCUGGAUCCUGCUCAAAAGUUAUUUAUCAAGACCAAAUUAUGUUGUACCUUUUUUAAAGCUUAAGUAGAAUAUACUGCUCAGAUUAUUGUAGUGUCUUUGCAGGUCUUUGUUGAGAAUUUUCAGCAUGUCAUUCCAGAUCUCUUUUUUUACCAACCAAAUAUAUAAUUUUCCAGGCUUUUAUCCAGGCUGAGACUAAUAUUUUAAAAAGGUUUGUUCUUUCAGCUGUGUUUUGCUCAGUAGUCCUAGGAACCGCCUGCCACCCUGACAAGGAUUAACCACAUCCAUUGGACAUGCUGUUGUUUCUCUGGGCACCCCUCCAGCUUUUCAUGAAGAGCAGCCUGUCCUUAGCCCCUUCUCUUCAGGAAGCAGUCCAUCCUUUGGGGGACACUGUGAUUUCCUUUCCUUUGGGCUCAGGAUCUUUCAUUCCUUUGAGCCUGUUGGCAGAAAUUAAAACAAGUACCUCUGCUGUUUCAGCAAGAUGUCAGAGCAGUGCCCUCAUCUACUGGUUGAAUUUCUAGGCAUUAUUCUGCCUCAGGAAGAGGCACUUACUCCACUACUCUGCAGUUCAAAACUCUUUAAAACUGCUGCCCCCUUCAUGUUUGCAUUCAUAAAUUGUUUCCAUUUUUCUCAUCUCGAAAAGCAAGCUGCAGCAGAUAACCCUCUUCACUCUUUUUGUUGUCCCAUGUUUUGGUGCUGGUUAAACUCCUGCUAGCUUCCUGAACCCUCUGGCCUUUACAUACUUCUUACAUUUCCAAGAAUUUUUAAAAGCCACUGCCUAAAACUCCAGGGGCUAUURGAUGUUCCAGUGUAGUCUCAAAGCAAGCUUCUACCUACUGUGAUUUGGAAAAGACACUGCAUAUAUCCAUUCCCUAUCCUCCAAUAGCAGAGGRCUGUGUGCAGAAACCAAACUAUGUACUGAGGAUGAAAACCAUUCCACCAGGUUUUGAGAAAAGCCUUGUUACUAAGCCYAGGUAAAGGCUUAGCAUGAAGCCAGGAUAAUCUUGUGACUAAUAUAACAGAUUAAACUCAGAAAAAUUAUUUAGGAGCAGACCUGCUGUAGUGUACUGGAAAGGUACCAACAGAAGAAAGGAAACAAAUAGUUUGGGUCUGUUAAUAUUAAACAGUYUUUAUCCCUCCACCCAUAGGCAUACAUCUUGUCUGUACCACUCCUACAUAUCCUAGAUCAAAUGUGAGAGUCAUCAUAUUUCAGGGAGCUAAACACUUUUGAAGGCUUUGUUUCACAAUACCAGAGCUCUUCAGGUACAAGUUUCUCUUUUUAUAUAGUGUCACACAUACACGUACAAGACUUACUGGAACCCUUUCCACUAUUAAGCUAUUGGGGACAGGAUGCUAUGGGAAUCUGAAGUACUCUUUUUGGGAGUAACYAAAUCAAAUUCAAUGCGGUAAGAUACAAGCCUGUAUCAGCAGUGAAAAAAAUAGCAUGGGUGUUUUCUUUAAGAACAGAAGCACGUAUUCUAAUUGACAAUAUUGGCUGUCUACGUGUGAAAUAUUUUAAAGGCUUGUCCUUUGAAUGUUUUAGGUCCAAUCUCCAAGGCUGUUGAGAAUUUGCCAACUGCAUAAUUUUCAGCUGUAAUUAUGAAAGAUUACUGUCAGAAAGGCUGACUUUCAUUUUUGAAGGCAAAUCCUGAGAAGAUUCUGAAAAAAACAAGACUCACCCUGAGUGUUUCUGAUCAACCUUUUACAGUUCCUUCUGACGAAGGAAUGCUGGUAACAUAAUGGCUUUGCUAGAGAGCUUUUGAAAACUGGUCUCUCAAGCUUAGAAAAUCUGUGUGAAGAAAGUAAUAGUUAUCAUUCAAACUUGACGCCAGACUCUAAUUAUUACUUCAAACACAACAACAGGAUUUUUUUUUUUUAAUCUCCUUGGUAAACUGCAGUAACCACACCUACAUCCUUUUAGAGGAAACUUAUUUCUUUCUUCUGGAUACUUUGCACGAAUAUG